GUACGGGAGGCAGCAGUGGGGAAUAUUGGACAAUGGGCGCUAGCCUGAUCCAGCCAUGCCGCGUGUGUGAAGAAGGCCUUCGGGUUGUAAAGCACUUUCAGCGAGGAGGAAGGGAGUUGUGUUAAUAGCACAGCUUCUUGACGUUACUCGCAGAAGAAGCACCGGCUAACUCUGUGCCAGCAGCCGCGGUAAUACAGAGGGUGCAAGCGUUAAUCGGAAUUACUGGGCGUAAAGCGCACGUAGGCGGUUUUUUAAGUCAGAUGUGAAAGCCCCGGGCUCAACCUGGGAAUUGCAUUUGAAACUGGAAAACUAGAGUGUGUGAGAGGGGGGUAGAAUUCCAAGUGUAGCGGUGAAAUGCGUAGAGAUUUGGAGGAAUACCAGUGGCGAAGGCGGCCCCCUGGCACAACACUGACGCUCAGGUGCGAAAGCGUGGGGAGCAAACAGGAUUAGAUACCCGAGUAGUCCC
rnacentral:rRNA from 1 species